rnacentral:rRNA from 1 species
AUGAACGCUGGCGGCGUGCUUAACACAUGCAAGUCGAACGAGAAAUGGAGACGGAAACCUUCGGGCGGAAGGCUUCAUUUCGAGUGGCGGACGGGUGAGUAACGCGUGGGUAACCUGCCUCAUACAGGGGGAUAACAGUUGGAAACGACUGUUAAUACCGCAUAAGACCACAGCACCGCAUGGUGCGGGGGUAAAAACUCCGGUGGUAUGAGAUGGACCCGCGUUCGAUUAGCCAGUUGGCGGGGUAACGGCCCACCAAAGCGACGAUCGAUAGCCGAUCUGAGAGGAUGACCGGCCACAUUGGGACUGAGACACGGCCCAAACUCCUACGGGAGGCAGCAGUGGGGAAUAUUGCACAAUGGGGGAAACCCUGAUGCAGCGACGCCGCGUGAGUGAAGAAGUACCUCGGUAUGUAAAGCUCUAUCAGCAGGGAAGAAAAUGACGGUACCUGAGUAAGAAGCCCCGGCUAACUACGUG